GUCUGUGCAGCUGGCUAGGUGGUUGAUGUCGGGAGAAUUUCACAAAGGAUGCCUGUCCCUCUGAUUGACAGGACUUAAACCAUGAGUCUGCUAUCUCUCUAGAGAGCCUUCUUGUGGUGGAGGUUGGAGGACAGACCCAAAGAGGCCUGCCUGGAGCAGCAGGGAGAGAGUUUUGCUCCACCCUCUGGGCUGUGGCUUGGAGGCCUCUCUGAUCUGGCAGAGGCAGAAGAGGUGAAGCUGCAAGCAUCGGUUGCCUCCUGCUGACAGGUCCCUGGGCACCCCAUGAAGGGAGAGCGUGACAUGGUCCUGCUUUUCCUGGCAGCACUGGUGGGACUGGCAGACUUUGGUCAUGCCCAAAAGGACUCUGUGCUGCAGUUUCCAGCAGAAAUGACCAUCCAGGCAGGGGAGAGCACAGCUCUGCACUGCAAUUUCUCCACCAGCUCUGCCAAUCCCUCCAUCUACUGGUACCAGCAGCGCCAGUCCCAGUCCCCUCAGAGGCUGCUGUGGGUGUACAAGUACAGAGCUCGUAUAGAUUCAGGGAGAUUCUCCUCUGAACUGACUGCGGAGACCUCCCAGGUGCUUCUGAAUGUGCGGGAUGCCGAGCUCCAGGACAGCGCUGCCUAUUUCUGUGCACUGAGCCCACACUGGUGCCCACAGCUUGCAGCACUGCACAGAAAGGUGGGGGGGUGCUCUGAGGAGCAGUUCCCUCCCUGCCACUGCUUGCAUGUAGCUCUGAGCUCAGCCUGCCCAGCAGCAGCACCUGGGAACUGUGGUGAGGCUGGGCUUCUGCCUCCCCAGCCUGUGCCGCUGUGA